UUAGGUAGAGGCGCGACACGCCAAGAGUAUCCCGGCAGAACGGAAAAUCAGGUUUUCCGCCGGAAGAAAGGGGCUGCCGCCGAAGUCGAAACGAUGCCUGAUUCGCGUUUCGGCUGGGCCGCCGGAGAACAUCCGUCGGACUGUCACAGAAAUGUGGAGCGCUAUCGUU
rnacentral:ncRNA from 1 species